GCGCUAUAGGGUUGGCCGAUGGCUGAUUAGCUAGUUGGUGGGGUAAAGGCCUACCAAGGCGACGAUCAGUAGCUGGUCUGAGAGGACGACCAGCCACACUGGGACUGAGACACGGCCCAUACUCCUACGGGAGGCAGCAGUGGGGAAUUUUGGACAAUGGGCGAAAGCCUGAUCCAGCAAUGCCGCGUGUGUGAAGAAGGCCUUCGGGUUGUAAAGCACUUUUGUCCGGA
rnacentral:rRNA from 1 species